rnacentral:lncRNA from 1 species
UGACUGGAGAAUCCCAUAGACAGAGGAGCCUGGAGAGCUACAGUCUGUAGGAUCACACAAAGUUGAACAUGACCCAAGUGACUUAGCAAACAUGCACAAAUCUGAAUUAAACUUUCAUCACUGCAUGUAAUAGGAUGUUGUGUUUGUCUAAUGAGCCCUUAUAUUUUCUUAUUUUCCUAUCAUCUUCAGAUAUAGGAGAUCUGAGGCAGGAGAAUGGGUGAGAACAGAGGUUUCAGAGCCUGAGAGAUGAGCGAAUCAUGACUGAGAACACUGCCUGGCAUCUUCGCAGCUGCCGCAUGUGAGAAAAGGGUGGAGGGGGAACCAAGAGCCAGGAAGGAGCUGGGGUGGCCGCGUGGCUGAAGGACAGGGGGACCUCAUGGUGCGGGCAGGCAGGAGUGCUUGAUAAACUUGACUACAAGCCUGAGUUAGAACUGAAAGGAGACCCAAGAGAAAAAUUGCUGGAAAUAGAGUUGGGUGUGAGAAGAUGGUCACAUCCCAGGUUAUGUCCCUGGGACGGCUGCCAAGUGUGGGUUCUUGGCUUCAC